GAUGAACGCUGGCGGCGUGCCUAAUACAUGCAAGUCGAGCGAACAGACGAGGAGCUUGCUCCUCUGACGUUAGCGGCGGACGUGUGAGUAACACGUGGAUAACCUACCUAUAAGACUGGGAUAACUUCGGGAAACCGGAGCUUAUACCGGAUAACAUGUUGAACCGCAUGGUUCAACAGUGAAAGACGGUCUUGCUGUCUCUUCUAGAUGGAUCCGCGCCGCAUUAGCUAGUUGGUAAGGUAACGGCUUACCAAGGCAACGAUGCGUAGCCGACCUGAGAGGGUGAUCGGCGACACUGGAGCUGAGACACGGUCCAGACUCCUACGGGAGGCAGCAGUAGGGAAUCGGCCGCAAUGGGCGAAAGCCUGACGGAGCAACGCCGCGUGAGUGAAGAAGGUCUUCGGAUCGUGAAACUCUGUUAUUAGUGAAGAACAAAUGUGUAAGUAACUAUGCACGUCUUGACGGUACCUAAUCAGAAAGCCACGGCUAACUACGUG
rnacentral:rRNA from 1 species